UGAGGAAUAUUGGUCAAUGGGCGGGAGCCUGAACCAGCCAAGUCGCGUGAGGGAAGACGGUCCUAUGGAUUGUAAAACCUCUUUUGUCGGGGAGCAAAGAGGCCACGUGUGGUCAAAAGCGAGAGUACCCGAAGAAAAAGCAUCGGCUAACUCCGUGCC
rnacentral:rRNA from 1 species